rnacentral:rRNA from 1 species
ACAGGUGCUGCAUGGCUGUCGUCAGCUCGUGUUGUGAAAUGUUGGGUUAAGUCCCGCAACGAGCGCAACCCUUAUCCUUUGUUGCCAGCGGUCCGGCCGGGAACUCAAAGGAGACUGCCAGUGAUAAACUGGAGGAAGGUGGGGAUGACGUCAAGUCAUCAUGGCCCUUACGACCAGGGCUACACACGUGCUACAAUGGCGCAUACAAAGAGAAGCGACCUCGCGAGAGCAAGCGGACCUCAUAAAGUGCGUCGUAGUCCGGAUUGGAGUCUGCAACUCGACUCCAUGAAGUCGGAAUCGCUAGUAAUCGUGGAUCAGAAUGCCACGGUGAAUACGUUCCCGGGCCUUGUACACACCGCCCGUCACACCAUGGGAGUGGGUUGCAAAAGAAGUAGGUAGCUUAACCUUCGGGAGGGCGCUUACCACUUUGUGAUUCAUGACUGGG